rnacentral:rRNA from 1 species
GCACCACAAGAGCGUGGAGUAUGUGGCUUAAUUUGACUCAACGCGGAAAAGCUUAUCUGGUCCGGACGCAGUGAGGAUUGACAGACAGUUAGACAAAAGUGGUUUUGGUAACAAAUUGAGAGAGGUGAAGUUCUUUCAUGAUCUUGUGAGAGGUGGUGCAUGGCCGUUCUUAGUUCGUGUAGUGAUAUGUCUGCCUAAUCGCGUCACGAUAACCUAUUGGUCGACAACCCAAUUAUCACAACUGCAGCAUAACUCCCCUUGGGUGGGCGAGGCUCUGUGUAGGAUAGACCUCUGAACAGUACGCAACGAACGUGAUCGUAAACCCUUGUUGAGUGGCCAUCCUGUAAGCUGCUGGAUUAGGAACCCAGUGGUAUUAUCUCAGCCACAGAUUUUCUGGUUGUAAUGGGCCAGUUUUGAAACUCGGGGCACAU